CAGGGUUCGCUCUGAUUGUUUAGAAAUACACAAUCGCUUUGAGGUCCUCUCCCCUAGCAUGGAAGACGAAGAGCAGACUCCAUUUGAGGAUCUCUCCCUCAUUACAGUCGAUCAGGUAUAUGAAGACGAGCAGCAAAGUCAGUCCUCAGGGAAUGUGCAGGCGACCUUGGAGCGGACAGCUCACAGAAGAACCCCGGCCAAACCUAAGAGGAGGCGUGUAGUGGUGAUAGGGGAUUCCCUACUGAGGGAACAGAAGCAGUGAUCUGUGGGCCUGACAAGAUGUCUCGGGAAGUGUGCUGUCUCCCCGGGGGCUAAGAUCCAAGAUGUAACUGAACGACUGCAAGGAAUCAUAAAACCCACUGACAAAUACCCCUUCCUCUUGGUUCACGUGGGAACCAAUGACACUGCAAGCAAUAGCCUCCAGAAGAUCAAAAGAGACUACGAGGCUCUGGGCAGGAAAUUGAAGCAAUUAAAUGCACAAAUUGUGAUCUCAUCUGUCCUCCCAGUUGAACGACGUGGCCCAGGGAGAGGGGGAAAAUAGUGGAAGUGAACAGCUGGCUUCGCAAAUGGUGUAAACAGGAACGGUUUGGAUUCUUAGAUCACGGACUGCAGUUUCUUGAAGAUGGACUUCUGGCAAGCGAUGGGCUGCACCUCACAACGGUUGGGAGAAAUGUUUUUGCCAAAAAUCUCAGAAACCUCAUCAGGAGGGCUUUAAACUGACUAAUGUGGGGGAGGGAGAUAGUGCUCCUGAAGGUAGGAGUCUAUCAAUUGAUGAAGAUGAUCAUCCAAAUGUCAUAGACCAAAUGGAGCAAACAGCACACAGACCUAGUGGUGGGAGGAAAAAAUCCUUAAAUAAGAGUCACGGGGAAAUGAUUAAUGGACUUCAAUGUCUGUACACUAAUGCGCAAAGCAUGGGAAAUAAACAAGAUGAGCUUGAGCUCUUGGUACAGCAAACUAAAUAUGACAUAAUAGGCAUCACUGAAACCUGGUGGGAUAAGUCCCACGAUUGGAAUGUAAUAAUGGGGGAUACAAUCUAUUUCAGAGAAACAGACCAGACAAGAAAGGAGGAGGAGUGGCGUUAUAUGUCAGGGAUGUGUAUACCUGUGAAGAGAUCCAAGAUUUAGAACCUCAAAGCCAAAGUGAGAGCAUUUGGGUCAAAAUUAAGGAGAGAAGAAUAACAGUGACCUCAUUGUGGGAGUUUACUAUAGAUCCCCAAGCCAAACGGAGGACAUAGAUGAUGCCUUCCUGGAACAGAUGGCCAAGCAUGCAAAAGGAAGGGAGAUAGUAGUAAUGGGGGACUUCAAUUACCCGGAUAUUUGUUGGAUGUCAAACUCAGCCAAGAGCAUAAGGUCAAACAGAUUCCUCACUGGCCUUGCAGACAACUUCAUUGUCCAGAAAGUGGGAGAAGCAACAAGAGGAACAGCCAUUUUAGAUCUGGUCCUAACCAAUGUUGAUGACCUGGUUAGUGGGGUAGAAGUGGAAGGAUCAUUAGGCGCAAGUGAUCAUGCUCUUCUGAAGUUUACUAUACAGCGGAAAGGAGCAGCCAAGCAUACUAGGACUCAAUUUCUUGACUUUAAGAAAGCUGACUUCAUAAAACUUAGGGAAGUGCUGGGUGAGAUCCCAUGGACAGUAAUACUAAAAGGAAAGGGAGUUCAUGAUGGCUGGGAGUUUGUUAAGAGGGAGAUACUAAAAGCACAACGUCAGGCAAUACCAAUGAGACGGAAACAUGGAAGGUGCCUAAAGAAGCCAGGGUGGCUAUCUAAAGAACUUUUAACUGAGUUAAGAUUAAAAAAGGAUGUGUACAAAAAAUGGAAAAGGGGGGAAACCACCAAAGAGGAAUUCAAACAAAUAGCCAGCACGUGUAGACACAAAGUCAGAAAAGCUAAAGCACAGAAUGAACUCAGGCUUGCUAGAGAGGUUAAAAGCAACAAAAAAGGCUUUUAUGGGUAUGUCCGUAGCAAAAGGAAGAACAAAGAAACAGUGGGGUCACUCAGAGGAGAAGAUGGUGAAAUGCAAACAGGGGACACAGAAAGAGCUGAACUCCUCAAUGCCUUCUUUGCCUCAGUCUUCUCCGAUAAAGAAAACAAUGCCCGACCUGAAGAAUUUGGAGCAAAUGAUUCAGCAAAGGAAACACAGCCCAGAAUAACUAAGGAGAUAGUACAAGAAUACUUGGCUAGUUUAGAUGUAUUCAAGUCUCCAGGGCCAGAUGAACUGCAUCCAAGAGUAUUAAAAGAACUGGCAGAUGUGAUCUCAGAACCACUGGCAGUCAUCUUUGAGAAUUCCUGGAGAACAGGCGAAGUCCCGGCAGACUGGAGGAGGGCAAAUGUUGUCCCUAUUUUCAAAAAGGGAAAAGAGAGGACCCAAAUAAUUACCGCCCAGUCAGUCUGACAUCAAUACCAGGGAAGAUUCUGGAGCAGAUCAUUAAGCAAACAGUCUGUGAGCACCUAGAAAGGAAUGCUGUGAUCACCAAUAGUCAGCAUGGAUUUCUGAAAAAUAAGUCAUGUCAGACUAACCUGAUCUCGUUUUUGACAGAAUUACAAGCCUGGUGGAUGAAGGGAACGCAGUGGAUGUAGCCUACCUUGAUUUCAGCAAGGCAUUUGACAAGGUGCCUCAUGAUAUUCUUGUAAAGAAGCUGGUAAAAUGUGGUCUUGACUAUGCUACCACUCAGUGGAUUUGUAACUGGCUGACUGACCGAACCCAAAGGGUGCUCAUCAAUGGUUCCUCUUCAUCCUGGAGAAGAGUGACUAGUGGGGUGCCACAGGGUUCUGUCUUGGGCCCGGUCUUAUUCAACAUCUUUAUCAACGACUUGGGUGAUGGACUCAAGGGCAUCCUGAUCAAAUUUGCAGAUGACACCAAAUUGGGAGGGGUGGCUAACACCCCAGAGGACAGGAUCACACUUCAAAACGACCUUGACAGAUUAGAGAACUGGGCCAAAACAAACAAGAUGAAUUUUAACAGGGAGAAAUGUAAAGUAUUGCACUUGGGCAAAAAAAAUGAGAGGCACAAAUACAAGAUGGGGGACACCUGGCUUGAGAGCAGUACAUGUGAAAAGGAUCUAGGAGUCUUGGUUGACCACAAACUUCACAUGAGCCAACAGUGUGACGCGGCAGCUAAAAAAGCCAAUGCAAUUCUGGGCUGCAUCAAUAGGAGUAUAGCAUCUAGAUCAAGGGAAGUAAUAGUGCCACUGUAUUCUGCUCUGGUCAGACCUCACCUGGAGUACUGUGUCCAGUUCUGGGCACCACACUUCAAGAAGGACAUUGACAAACUGGAACGUGUCCAGAGGAGGGCAACCAAAAUGGUCAAAGGCCUGGAAACGAUGCCUUAUGAGGAACGGCUAAGAGAGCUGGGCAUGUUUAGCCUGGAGAAGAGGAGGUUAAGGGGUGAUAUGAUAGCCAUGUUCAAAUAUAUAAAAGGAUGUCACAUAGAGGAGGGAGAAAGGUUGUUUUCUGCUGCUCCAGAGAAGCGGACACGGAGCAAUGGAUCCAAACUACAAGAAAGAAGAUUCCACCUAAACAUUAGGAAGAACUUCCUGACAGUAAGAGCUGUUCGACAGUGGAAUUUGCUGCCAAGGAGUGUGGUGGAGUCUCCUUCUUUGGAGGUCUUUAAGCAGAGGCUUGACAACCAUAUGUCAGGAGUGCUCUGAUGGUGUUUCCUGCUUGGCAGGGGGUUGGACUCGAUGGCCCUUGUGGUCUCUUCCAACUCUAUGAUUCUAUGAUUCUA